GGACCUUCGGGCCUUGCGCUAUCAGAUGAGCCUAGGUCGGAUUAGCUAGUUGGUGAGGUAAUGGCUCACCAAGGCUACGAUCCGUAACUGGUCUGAGAGGAUGAUCAGUCACACUGGAACUGAGACACGGUCCAGACUCCUACGGGAGGCAGCAGUGGGGAAUAUUGGACAAUGGGCGAAAGCCUGAUCCAGCCAGGCCGCGUGUGUGAAGAAGGUCUUCGGAUGUAAAUCAAAGGAGUUGGGAGGAAGGGCAUU
rnacentral:rRNA from 1 species